GUGCGCGCCUUAGCAGCACAUAUACUAAAAUUAGAACGAUACAGAGAAGAUUAGCAUGGCCCCUGUGCAAGGAUGAUAUGCAAAUUCGUGAAGCAUUCCAUACUUUU
ensembl:snRNA U6 U6 spliceosomal RNA